rnacentral:rRNA from 1 species
AGGGAAUAGAUACCCGGGUAGUCCACGCCGUAAACGAUGCAUGCUAGCUGUGAGAGGCUCGACCCUUUUCGUAGCGAAAGCUAACGCGUUAAGCAUGCCGCCUGGGGAGUACGGUCGCAAGAUUAAAACUCAAAGGAAUUGACGGGGACCCGCACAAGCGGUGGAGCGUGUUGUUUAAUUCGAGGAUAAGCGAAGAACCUUACCAAGAUUUGACAUCCCACUAAUCAUCCCGAAAGGGAAGAGUAUCUUCGGAUAGGUGGUGACAGGUGCUGCAUGGCCGUCGUCAGCUCGUGUCGUGAGACGUUAGGUUAAGUCCUAUAACGAGCGCAACCCUUAUGAAUAGUUGGAUUUUUCAUUCAGACUGCCCUGGUAACAGGGAGGAAGGAGGGGUCGAAGUCAGGUCAGUAUUGCCCUUACAUCUUGGGCUACAAACACGCUACAAUGGCCGGUACAAAGGGCAGCCAACCCGCGAGGGGAGCAAAUCCCAUCAAAGCCGGUCUCAGUUCGGAUUGCAGGCUGAAACUCGCCUGCAUGAAGCUGGAA